rnacentral:rRNA from 1 species
AGUGAACGCUGGCGGCAGGCCUAACACAUGCAAGUCGAGCGGCAGCGCGGGGGCAACCCUGGCGGCGAGCGGCGGACGGGUGAGGAAUUCGUCGGAAUCUGCCUUUUUGUGGGGGAUAACGUAGGGAAACUUACGCUAAUACCGCAUACGUCCUACGGGAGAACGUGGGGGACCGCAAGGCCUCACGCAGAAAGAUGAGCCGACGACCGAUUAGCUAGUUGGUGGGGUAAAGGCCCACCAAGGCGACGAUCGGUAGCUGGUCUGAGAGGAUGAUCAGCCACACUGGGACUGAGACACGGCCCAGACUCCUACGGGAGGCAGCAGUGGGGAAUAUUGGACAAUGGGCGCAAGCCUGAUCCAGCCAUGCCGCGUGUGUGAAGAAGGCCUUCGGGUUGUAAAGCACUGUUGUCCGGAAAGAAAACCCUGGAGCUAAUACCUGCGGGGGAUGACGGUACCGGAAGAAUAAGCACCGGCUAACUUCGUG